UCCCUAAUGGUCCAGUGGCUAAGACUCCACACUCUUAACGCAGGGGGGCCAGGUUCAAUCCCUGGUCAGGGAA
rnacentral:tRNA from 1 species